CGCCUCGAUUCGACAGCACACAUAUAAAGUUGGAAUGAUUCGGAAGAGAUUAACGUGGACCCUGCAUAGAAAUGACAGGCAUAGAAUGACAUGAAGCAUUCCAUCAUGUU
rnacentral:snRNA from 1 species